rnacentral:rRNA from 1 species
AGAGUUUGAUCAUGGCUCAGGACGAACGCUGGCGGCGUGCUUAACACAUGCAAGUCACGGGGGUCCCGCAAGGGAUAACCGGCGAACGGGUGCGUAACACGUGAACAACCUGCCCUCGUGUGGGGGAUAGCCGGGCUAACGCCCGGGUAAUACCGCAUACGUUCCUCUGGGGGAGUCCUUGGGGGAGGAAAGCUCUGGCGCACGGGGAGGGGUUCGCGGCCUAUCAGCUUGUUGGCGGGGUAACGGCCCACCAAGGCGACGACGGGUAGCUGGUCUGAGAGGAUGGCCAGCCACAUUGGGACUGAGAGACGGCCCAGACUCCUACGGGAGGCAGCAGUGGGGAAUCUUGCGCAAUGGUCGAAAGACUGACGCAGCGACGCCGCGUGUGGGAGGACGCCUUUCGGGGUGUAAACCACUGUUGCCCGGGACGAACACCUCUUUUCGAAGAGGCUGACGGUACCGGGUGAGGAAGCACCGGCUAACUCCGUGCCAGCAGCCGCGGUAAUAC